UGCUGAUUGUGCAUACAACACUUGCCCAUCGAGAUCAUUUUCAAAAGAUGAUUACUUCAGUGUGCCCAGGCCUGCAGGACAUAAGUACAUGGGCAGGAGUGAUGCAAAAUGAGCCUGGAAGGACAAUGCGCAUCAGAUUACUCUACCAAUGACAAGGCCUUGACAAUCACAAACAUUUCUAAGCUCCAUUUAAGGAUCCAUUUACAUCAGUAAUAUCUUACACCGUGGAAUUUCAGGACAGCAAAAGAAGCUGGAUGUCCUGUAAAGUCUGUUGUGAUGGGAUGUGGCUAACCAGGA
rnacentral:lncRNA from 1 species